rnacentral:tRNA from 1 species
AGGGUUAUAGCUCAGUUGGCAGAGUGUUUGUUUCACAUACACAAAGCCCUGGGUUCAAUCCCCAGCACCACCA